CCUGAGCGGGGGGGGAAGCGGCUCCGGGAGGAGUGGGGACAGAGCGGGCACAGGAGGGCGAGAGAGACCGGGAACGGGAGAGGAGGAGAACGAGCAGAAGAGGUAACGGGUCGGUAAAGUCGCUGCUGCUGCCGCCGUUUGUCCCUUUGUCCCCGAGAGGAAGGGAGGAUGCGUGCUGAUGUCUUUACAAACAAUUCGAUGGGUGAAGGUGCAGCCAAAGAUCUGCAAGCAAAGGCAAAAUCUGAGGAGCAAGUGCCUGGGCUGUCCCAGCCCCAGCAGCAGGGCUGGGUGCCUGUGCCUGCUAGGAUGAAUAGGAUGAAUAAGGAUGAAUAAAUUCAGGAGAAUAACGCAAACAUCAACAGCCUGGAAAGGAGCAGAGAAUUGAGGGAGGAACAAGAAAAAGAAAGUCAAUACUAGCCUGUUCUGCUUUAUAAUGAAGUGUCUGGGGAUGCAAACGAGGAGCAGGUUCUAGAACUGAGAGCUGCAGGUUUUGGUCACCAGGCACUUGGAACUCUGAACACGAAGAAAAAUUCAGCUGACAACCAUCUUGGAAAGAUUGCUGGAAUAAAUACUCUCUCUCUAGUAGACUAUCACUACCAACCUCCCUGUGAUGACCUGGCUCCUAAGAAGUCCUUUAGAGAAAAAUCUGUCAUCAGUGCUGCAGAUUUCAGACAAGCACAGGAGAUCUUCCUUGCUCUUUGAGGCAUAUGAACAAAAUUCUCAUUAAUGUUAAUAGUAAUAAAUUAUUCAAGACUUACUGCUAUUUAAAGCCAAAUAGAUGGCAUCACUCACAUCUGGGAAUUCUACAUGUGGCCAUAUUCCAGGCAAAAAUAAAAGAUAUGGGAUGACAUCUGUUGGAAGACAGACACGUGGGCUUUACAUUCUCAUUGAGCAUCUCCUGCAUUCAGCCUAUCACUGCUGAUUGUACUGCAGCAUAUUUUGUACAAGGUGAAGAGCCACUCUUUCUGUUGCUGUUA